rnacentral:rRNA from 1 species
CCUACGGGUGGCAGCAGUGAGGAAUAUUGGUCAAUGGUCGGGAGACUGAACCAGCCAAGCCGCGUGAGGGAUGAAGGUACAGAGUAUCGUAAACCUCUUUUGUCGGGGAGCAAAAGCCGGACGUGUCCGGCUGUGAGAGUACCCGAAGAAAAAGCAUCGGCUAACUCCGUGCCAGCAGCCGCGGUAAUACGGAGGAUGCGAGCGUUAUCCGGAUUUAUUGGGUUUAAAGGGUGCGCAGGCGGAUUUUUAAGUCAGCGGUCAAAUCGUGGGGCUCAACCCCAUCCAGCCGUUGAAACUGGGGAUCUAGAGUGUGCGAGAGGUAUGCGGAAUGCGUGGUGUAGCGGUGAAAUGCAUAGAUAUCACGCAGAAUCCCGAUUGCGAAGGCAGCAUACCGGUGCACAACUGACGCUCAGGCACGAAAGCGUGGGUAUCGAACAGGAUUAGAUACCCCGGUAGUC